UGGGGAAUAUUGGACAAUGGGGGCAACCCUGAUCCAGCCAUGCCGCGUGAGUGAUGAAGGCCCUAGGGUUGUAAAGCUCUUUUGUGCGGGAAGAUAAUGACGGUACCGCAAGAAUAAGCCCCGGCUAACUUCGUGCCAGCAGCCGCGGUAAUACGAAGGGGGCUAGCGUUGCUCGGAAUCACUGGGCGUAAAGGGUGCGUAGGCGGGUUUCUAAGUCAGAGGUGAAAGCCUGGAGCUCAACUCCAGAACUGCCUUUGAUACUGGAAGUCUUGAGUAUGGCAGAGGUGAGUGGAACUGCGAGUGUAGAGGUGAAAUUCGUAGAUAUUCGCAAGAACACCAGUGGCGAAGGCGGCUCACUGGGCCAUUACUGACGCUGAGGCACGAAAGCGUGGGGAGCAAAACAGGAUUAGAUACCCUGGUAGUCCACGCCGUAAACGAUGAAUGCCAGCCGUUAGUGGGUUUUACUCACUAGUGGCGCAGCUAACGCUUUUAAGCAUUCCGCCUGGGGAGUACGGUCGCAAGAUUAAAAACUCAAAUGAAUUGACGGGGUCAUAGCUGUUUCCU
rnacentral:rRNA from 1 species